UUAUAAUUUCUUAGUUCUGAAAGACAGGUGUUCCAAUACACCCAGUUAGAUGCUUGGCAUUGCGUCCUGGACUCUGCCAAGAUCAAGUUUAAUAAUUUUACAAGUCACUGUCCUAUGACUUACUUGGAAAGGGAGAAUGAACAGACGGGAGCACAGAAAUAUUCUCUUCCCAAUCUGGUUCCAUAUAUCUUCUGCGAUUUUCUUUUUCUUUCUUUUUUUUUUCUUUUUCCAAGACAGGGUUUCUGUGUGUAGCCCUGGCUGGCCUCAAACUCUCUGAGAUCGGCCUGCCUCUGCCUUCUGAGUGCUGGGAUUAAAGGCAUGUGCCACCCACUACUGCUCAGCCUGCAAUUUUCUUUUCACAAAAUUCUUUUAUCUUAGUUAUUUUGUGUGCACAUGUGCAUGGGCUUGAGCCUUGACAGGUAUGGAAAGGUCAGAGGACAACUUGAGGCAGGCAGUUCUGCUUGAACAUUACCUCAUACUGCACCUGGUAUUUACCAAACUGAAAAAUCGUUUCUUCUUCCAGUUGCCAAAUGACUAAGAUGAGCCAAGAGCACAGAGAAGCAAUGUAAACACAAAAUGGUUUCAUUCUUAUUGUUUCAUAAUGCUCACCAAUUAUUUCUCCUCACUUUCAAAUAAUGAGUAAGUAGAAGCAACUUAGUUUUAGGAGUUACCAGAGUACAUACAUUUUUUGUUAAUGGAGAUAUUAACCGAAUUGACUUCAAGAGGAAAAGUGAAAUAUUUGCCUGACACAAAGUUGUAAUGUCCAGUUUUAUAUAUUUACCUGUGCAAACUUGGCCUCCUCUUUAGCAGAGUUCUUCCCCUCAGACUCAUAGAGUUCCAGGCAAACAGAAGAUAUACUGCCAGGGGCUUGGAGCGUGUGCUGUCUUCGGGCUGGCAGCGGAGUCCCAGAGGGAAACAGUACUGUGAAUCUGUCCGCACCUGAUUCAUCCACUCCCUAGCAGGCAGCAAAGCAAGACAGGCAUAAGGUUUCUCUGAUUCAUCCACUCAUCAUCUGAGAGCUGGAUAUGUAGAGUGCUGAUCACACACACAGCCUGGCAAAGGAGGUCGUCGACAGCUACUUAUAUAACCUUAAUGGAGGCUCUCCAAAUUCAACAUCCCUGAAGCCCAGUUAGAACGCGAGUGCUCUGAGUAUGUGGAAUGAGACAGGGACCACACCAAUCUGCAGGUAACGGAUAACCAAGGAAAGAAAAGCGGUACACUGGAAAAUCACACACAGAAUAUCUGAACUUUUGUGUAUCAGGUUUACCUGGACACACUGCAAUCAAAAUCUUGACCUUCAUACAAGGAAUCUACGAAGCAAUUGGCACUUCCCAAGGUUGACAGAGAAUGCUUGGCCACUUCAGCACUGUUCAUCAACUUCAUCAUGGCUCGGGCAUUUCCCCUCACAUCAUGUUUGAACAACCUAAAGACAUAACGUUUGAAGUUUAAAGGUCCUAGGUCAUUUACAAUUUAAUGCCAUUAUGGCAAUAAUAAAUUAAUCAAAUACUA